AUUUCUGGAUUUUCUGGCGUGGUGGUGUUGUUAACUGUACUGGCAUUUGUGGGUGGUUUCAUCCGCUCAAAGAAGAGAGAUGUUGAAGGAUCAUCAGCCGCAGCUAUACAGACCUCUGGGAAUCUACCAGAUGAUGAAACAUCUCACAACAGCAAGCCAACAUCAAUAAGCGGUGUUAAGCCUUUAGACAUGACCUUCGACCAAUCAGACCCUACAUACGCAAUUCCCGAUGUUUCCGAAGUACCCCAUACCUAUAUGGCAUUGAAGUGCAAAUCCUCAGUUAGUACUAGCCAACAAGUCUAUCAUCUCAGCACCCCAAUUGACGAUGAUGUUGAUGCUGUAACUAACGUUAGCCCCACUCUCGUCCGAAAGCAAGUGAAGACACAUUCACAUCUGAAGGAGGAGCCUACUUAUGUUAACACUAAAGGUGCGUCAAGUUAUUGUGAAAUUAGUACAGAUAUUCCAGACAUUGUUUAGGAUCACACUGACCAAUCAGACCUCACAAAUGUAGUUCCAGAUGUUCCCGAAACAACCCAUACCUACAUGGCAAUGAAACCUAUACUAAAGUGCGAAUCCCGAGCUAGUAAUACCCAACAGGUUUCCAAUCCCACCACCUCAGUUGAUGAUGAUCAUGGUGAUGCUGUACUUAGCGUUAGCCCCACUCUCGUCCGCAAGCAAGUGAAGGCACAUUCAAAUUUGACGGAGGGGCCUACUUAUGUGAACACCGAAGGUGCGUCAACUUAUUGUGAAUAAGGGGAAUGUAAGGGCCUUUGUGUAAAAUCAAUGUUAACUACCACAUUAUCAUUAUUUGCAGUAUGUUCAGUAACGAACGAAUUGCAUCUUAAUCAUAACAAUGAUGCAAAUAAUAUGAAUUACACGGGUAUUCAAAACAUUGUUUACGAAAACAUUAUGUGUGUACUAUUCUAACCAAUAAAUCAAUCACUAUAAAACAUUUAAGAUAGAAAUAGUUAUCCUUCACGCCGGAAUACUUAAUGAGUGGUUAUUACAAAUAGUUUUACACCAGCGUUGUAUACGGUACUUUAUUGAAAUUUCAUGUUCACAUUAUCAACAAACUAUAAUCUGAUGUAGAUAUCAAAAGAUUGAAAUGAUUCAUGUACAAUUUAGAAUGAAGUAACUUGAAAAGACGCAACACAAUAUUGUACUGUGUGGAAGAUCGAAAUGAGGAAGUGUAUGACAUGUUUUAAUUAAGUGUUAUUAUUAUAUCAACACUUUAAUCUGCCUAAGACGUCCAGAGUUUGCGUAUGACAAGGAAAUUGCUAAUAAAAGAAAUGUUUGUAGCAACCAUUGUAUCAAAGACUGGUUUGCGAUAAAAUAAAAAAUUAAAAAAAAGUAUUUAUGUAAGUGGAGUGACAGUUUUAAGCACCUAUUGUGUAUGGAAAGUAGAAUCGAGGCUUUGCCAGGUCCACUUGUCCACUUGCACGCACACUCAGAUCUUCAGCCCAGCACCUCCUGCAAGUUCCUCGUCACUCAACUUAUUUUUACGGCAACAUGGCUUUUGAAGUGG